GACGAACGCUGGCGGCGUGCCUAAUACAUGCAAGUUGAGCGCUGAAGGUUGGUACUUGUACCAACUGGAUGAGCAGCGAACGGGUGAGUAACGCGUGGGGAAUCUGCCUUUGAGCGGGGGACAACAUUUGGAAACGAAUGCUAAUACCGCAUAAAAACUUUAAACACAAGUUUUAAGUUUGAAAGAUGCAAUUGCAUCACUCAAAGAUGAUCCCGCGUUGUAUUAGCUAGUUGGUGAGGUAAAGGCUCACCAAGGCGAUGAUACAUAGCCGACCUGAGAGGGUGAACGGCCACAGUGGGAAUGAGACACGGCCCAAACUCCUACGGGAGGCAGCAGUAGGGAAGCUUCGGCAAUGGACGAAAGUCUGACCGAGCAACGCCGCGUGAGUGAAGAAGGUUGUCGGAUCGUAAAACUCUGUUGGUAGAGAAGAACGUUGGUGAGAGUGGAAAGCUCAUCAAGUGACGGUAACUACCCAGAAAGGGACGGCUAACUACGUG
rnacentral:rRNA from 1 species